AUUUCAAUCCAUAGUAAAUAACUUAUACAUAAUUUAUAAAAUUAAAAAAUAUAUUAAAAAUGAGCAAUACCAACGGAAAUCCUCCACGCAAAAAUUAUACUGAGAGAGAGAGAAAUGUUUGCUGUUGGAAAUAAUUGGAAAAUACAAGCAUGUUAUAAUUGAAAACAAAUAAUAAUGUACCAAUGAUAUGUCCACCAACCAAAACAAUGAAACCUGGGAAAAAAUAGCGCUGAAUUUCCCAGAACUCCCAAGCAGCUGAAGACUGCAUAUAUAAACUUAAAAAGGGUCACUCGCCAAAAAGUAGUAGAGGAAAAUGUAAGUGUAUAAAACUUUCGGUUGAUUUAGAGCUAUAUGGAUUAAUUACAUUGCAUAUUCAAAAAUAUAAUGAGCAGAAGGUUUUGGACCAGUUGAAGAGAGACCAAACUGCGGACAAAAAAGACAUACUUGCAACAGGUGGUGGCACAUUUAGGCCUCGUCUCACAGAUGUACGGGCACAAAUGUUGAGUUUGAUUGGCAAUCAAAUCCAACCUUUAUGCAACAGUUGUGACAGUGCAUCUGGUUUCUUCAGAUCUGUUGCACAAGAUAGUCAAGUGGAAGUGGAUUACCUACAAUUGGAAGACACAUAGCAGACGUCCAAUGUACCCUCUACUUCCACUGUGCUGCUCAGUACACGCACGACAGCUGCUGUCCUGCCCAAGAAGACAGCCAAGAUGUCUCAGGCUCGUUCAAAAAAUAAAAAAGUAAAAGAUCUAGGGAGCGAAACCCUUAAUGUAUCUUUUACAAAAAAAAAUUGAAACAGCAAGACUAGAAAAAAGAAGUAAGAUAGUAUUUUUCAACAAGAAAAAAAGAAAUUUUAGAAGUAGAGCUUCAAAUAAAAAAAUUCAAACUCAAUAAAUUAUUAGGUAAUAGUGGUUAGGUAUGUACCUAAUA